GUGGGUGUAGCUCAGUGGAUAGAGCACUUGACUGUGGCUCAAGGGGUCGGGGGUUCAAUCCCCCUCACCCACCCCA
rnacentral:tRNA from 1 species